rnacentral:rRNA from 1 species
GGGACGGUUUAAACCUUGCGAGUUCGAGCGGAAGGCCACUUCGGUGGUACUCGAGCGGCGAACGGGUGAGUAACACGUGAGUAAUCUGCCCCUGGCUUUGGGAUAGCCACCGGAAACGGUGAUUAAUACCGGAUAUGACCGCUUCUCGCAUGAGUGGUGGUGGAAAGUUUUUCGGCCAGGGAUGUGCUCGCGGCCUAUCAGCUUGAUGGUGAGGUAAUGGCUCACCAUGGCUUCGACGGGUAGCCGGCCUGAGAGGGUGACCGGUCACACUGGGACUGAGACACGGCCCAGACUCCUACGGGAGGCAGCAGUGGGGAAUAUUGGACAAUGGGCGGAAGCCUGAUCCAGCAAGAGGGGCGUGAGGGAUGACGGCCUUCGGGUUGUAAACCUCUUUCGCCUGUGACGAAGCGCAAGUGACGGUAACAGGUAAAGAAGCACCGGCCAACUACGUGCCAGCAGCCGCGGUAAUAAUCGGAUCCC